UUUAAGGUCUGAGCAUUUAUACUUUAAAUCGUGUAUCUGCUACAAGUUGUGUUAAAGCGUGAUAAUUCAGCUGUUUGUAGACAUCGAAAUAUGAAUUUUUCAAUAAUAAAUGUUUUAAUACUGUUUUUAAUUUUUCCUGUUAUUAUGGGAAAAAUACAAAUUACUUCGCCGACAAGAAGAAGUAAUCCAAAUGUCGAAUGCAUGAUAAGGGAUGAAAAUGGUAAAUGUUAUAGGGUCUCAAAACAAAUCGAAAUUACAUGGGGCAAUAAUGAAAGGCACAACCGCAACCGGAAUCGAAAAGGGCAUCAUCAGCGAAACAAUUAUCAUUAUUAAAAAGUAGUUGCUGUUACUUAAACUUUAGUGAAUCAGCAAAGGAAAAAAAUAGUGAUACAAAAGUUAAAGUUCAAAAUAAAAAGCCUAUUUUUGUUCAUUUUUAUUUUUAAUCUUGAAAUAUUAAUUUAACGUUUUCAGUGUAGUUUAACAAAAAACUAUUUAAUAAGUUCUGAGAAAACCAAAUAAUUUGUUUCUAUUCAAAAUGUUGUUGAAAUUUUGCAACAAAAUUAAAAUUGACUUGUAAUUAAUCAUCAACCCACAUAGCUAUAUUCACAUAUUAAAAUUUAAUAGCUUUGCAUUCUUAUUAUUGUACUGAGUUAUUUUGAAAAUAUUGAUUGUUUUUAAAUAUUUCAUAAAAGCCACCGAUGAUUUUUUAUUGAAAUCGGUAAGAUCCAACAAUUGAUUUGGAAAUAUUUUACUUCUCCAGUUCUUGAUAAUCUCAAAAAAAAAAAAAAAAUACAAAAUUGAGGUUUUAAAUUAAAAGAGAAUUCUGAAACAUGAUGAAAUGAGAUUUUUCAAAGUUGCUCUAAGCUUUCUAAAAACGUAAAGGUUUUAACUUUGGUUCAUAUUUGGUUUGGAAAUUUCAUCAGGACUUUCGAUAUUGAUAAUUUUCUUGUUUUCUUACAUUUAUAUUUUUUUCAUAAUAUUACGAUUUAAAUACCUGUUAUCAUGAGUAUGAAGUCUACAGAGAUAACCAUUCUCGAAAUACUUUGUUUUUAGAAUUU